UACGUAGGGUGCAAGCGUUGUCCGGAAUCAUUGGGCGUAAAGCGCGCGUAGGCGGCCCGGUAAGUCCGCUGUAAAAGUCAGGGGCUCAACCCUUGAACGCCGGUGGACACUGCCGGGCUAGAGUCCGGAAGAGGCGAGUGGAAUCCUGGUGUAGCGGUGGAAUGCGCAGAUAUCAGGAGGAACACCAAUAGCGAAGGCAGCUCGCUGGGACGGUACUGACGCUGAGGCGCGAAAGCGUGGGGAGCAAACAGG
rnacentral:rRNA from 1 species